CCUACGGGAGGCUGCAGUGAGGAAUAUUGGUCAAUGGACGAGAGUCUGAACCAGCCAAGUAGCGUGAAGGAUGACUGCCCUAUGGGUUGUAAACUUCUUUUAUAAAGGAAUAAAACGAGGCACGUGUGCCUUUUUGCAUGUACUUUAUGAAUAAGGAUCGGCUAACUCCGUGCCAGCAGCCGCGGUAAUACGGAGGAUCCGAGCGUUAUCCGGAUUUAUUGGGUUUAAAGGGAGCGUAGAGGGGUUGGUAAGUCAGCUGGGAAAGUUUGGGGCUCAACCGUAAAAUUGCAGUUGAUACUGGCAGUCUUGAGGACAGUUGAGGUAGGCGGAAUGCGUGGUGUAGCGGUGAAAUGCUUAGAUAUCACGCAGAACCCCGAUUGCGAAGGCAGCUUACUAAACUGUGACUGACAUUGAUGCGCGAAAGUGUGGGUAUCAAACAGGAUUAGAUACCCGAGUAGUC
rnacentral:rRNA from 1 species